rnacentral:rRNA from 1 species
UACGUAGGUGGCAAGCGUUGUCCGGAUUUACUGGGCGUAAAGGGCGCGUAGGCGGUCAGCACAAGUCAGUUGUGAAAUCUCCGGGCUUAACUCGGAAAGGUCAACUGAUACUGUGCGACUAGAGUGCAGAAGGGGCAACUGGAAUUCUCGGUGUAGCGGUGAAAUGCGUAGAUAUCGAGAGGAACACCUGCGGCGAAGGCGGGUUGCUGGGCUGACACUGACGCUGAGGAGCGAAAGCGUGGGUAGCAAACAGG